rnacentral:tRNA from 1 species
UUUUUUAGUAGUAUAUUUAGUACACUUACCUUCCAAGUAAAAGGUUUUAUUUAACUCUUAGAGUAGGUUAAAAAAACC